AAUCAACGCUGGCGGCGUGCCUCAGACAUGCAAGUCGAACGCGAAAGUCCCCCUCGGGGGACAAGUAGAGUGGCGCACGGGUGAGUAACACGUAGGUAAUCUACCUUCGGGUGGGGAAUAACAAUCGGAAACGGUUGCUAAUACCGCAUAAUGCAGCGGCACCUAAUGGUGACAGUUGUUAAAGCGGGGGAUCGCAAGAUCUCGCGCCUGAAGAGGAGCCUGCGGCGGAUUAGCUAGUUGGUAGGGUAAUGGCCUACCAAGGCGACGAUCCGUAGCCGGCCUGAGAGGGCGGUCGGCCACACUGACACUGACAUACGGGUCAGACUCCUACGGGAGGCAGCAGUCGGGAAUUUUGGGCAAUGGGCGAAAGCCUGACCCAGCAACGCCGCGUGAAGGAUGAAAUCCCUCGGGAUGUAAACUUCGCAAGAACGGGAAGAAUAAGUUUGUGCUAAUACCACAAGCGAUGACGGUACUG
rnacentral:rRNA from 1 species